AUUGAACGCUGGCGGCAUGCCUUACACAUGCAAGUCGAACGGCAGCACGGACUUCGGUCUGGUGGCGAGUGGCGAACGGGUGAGUAAUGUAUCGGAACGUACCCUUCAGUGGGGGAUAACUAUCCGAAAGGAUAGCUAAUACCGCAUAUUCUCUGAGGAGGAAAGCGGGGGAUCGCAAGACCUCGCGCUGAUGGAGCGGCCGAUAUCAGAUUAGCUAGUUGGUGGGGUAAAGGCCUACCAAGGCGACGAUCUGUAGCGGGUCUGAGAGGAGGAUCCGCCACACUGGGACUGAGACACGGCCCAGACUCCUACGGGAGGCAGCAGUGGGGAAUUUUGGACAAUGGGGGCAACCCUGAUCCAGCCAUGCCGCGUGAGUGAAGAAGGCCUUCGGGUUGUAAAGCUCUUUCGGCCGGGAAGAAAUCGCGUGAGUUAAUACCUUGCGUGGAUGACGGUACCGGAAUAAGAAGCACCGGCUAACUACGUGCCAGCCGCCGCCGUAA
rnacentral:rRNA from 1 species